UACGUAGGGCGCGAGCGUUGUCCGGAUUUAUUGGGCGUAAAGAGCUCGUAGGCGGCUUGUCGCGUCGACUGUGAAAACCCGCGGCUCAACUGUGGGCUUGCAGUCGAUACGGGCAGGCUAGAGUUCGGUAGGGGAGACUGGAAUUCCUGGUGUAGCGGUGGAAUGCGCAGAUAUCAGGAGGAACACCGGUGGCGAAGGCGGGUCUCUGGGCCGAUACUGACGCUGAGGAGCGAAAGCGUGGGGAGCGAACAGG
rnacentral:rRNA from 1 species